UAGUUUUGGAUUCACUAGCCCUCCGAGUAAAGUCCUGAGGAGCCCUGAGAGGGCCAGGCACAGAGCACCAUAGGGUGCGUAGAGAAGUCCUGAGUAGCUCCUUCGCGGGCCGGGCACAGAACAGAGGGAAUUUUGAAUCUGUCCGUCUAAGAUGGGUGAUUUACUUGUGAUGUGAUGCAUUCCAUGUGAGCAUGUUUUAGUCACAUGUUUUUAUUGUUCUACUCACUGGGCUAGUAUAGCUCAUCCCUCUCCUUUAACCCCAGUCUUGCAGGAUCAGAGUUAGAG
rnacentral:lncRNA from 1 species